CCUACGGGAGGCAGCAGUAGGGAAUAUUGCACAAUGGGGGAAACCCUGAAGCAGCAACGCCGCGUGAAGGAUGAAGGUUUUCGGAAUGUAAACUCCUUUUGGUAGAGAAGAUAAUGACGGUAUCUAACGAAUAAGCACCGGCUAACUACGUGCCAGCAGCCGCGGUAAUACGGAGGGGGCAAGCGUUACUCGGAAUUACUGGGGGUAAAGGGAGCGUAGACGGUUAUGCAAGUCAGAAGUGAAAUCCUAUGGCUUAACCAUAGGACUGCUUUUGAAACUGUUAUUCUGGAGUACAGGAGAGGUAGGUGGAAUUCUUGGUGUAGCGGUGAAAGCCGUAGAUAUUAGGAGGAAUACUCAUGGCGAAGGCGACUUACUGGAACGUAACUGACGCUGAUGCUCGAAGGCGUGGGGAGCAAACAGGAUUAGAUACCCGUGUAGUC
rnacentral:rRNA from 1 species